rnacentral:rRNA from 1 species
AACGAACGCUGGCGGCGCGUCUUAAGCAUGCAAGUCGAGCGGUAAGUUGGAAGCUUGCUUCUAACCUAGAGCGGCGGACUGGUGAGUAACGCGUGGGUGACGUACCUCUGUGACGGGGACAGCUCCUAGAAAUAGGAGAUAAUACCGGAUACGCUGCAUGUUGUCAGAGGACAUGCAGGAAAGGAUCUUUUGAUUCGCACAGAGAGCGGCCCGCGUACUAUUAGCUUGUUGGUGAGGUAACGGCCCACCAAGGCGACGAUAGUUACCCGGCCUAAGAGGGUGAUCGGGCACAUUGGGACUGAGAUACGGCCCAGACUCCUACGGGAGGCAGCAGCUAAGAAUAUUCCGCAAUGGACGAAAGUCUGACGGAGCGACGCCGCGUGGAUGAUGAAAGGCCGGAAGGUUGUAAAAUCCUUUUAUGACUGAGGAAUAAGCAGGGUGAGAGAAACGCCUUGUGGUGACUGUAGGUCAUGAAUAAGCAACGGCUAAUUACGUGCCAGCCGCCGC